CUCAAAUAAAUUCAACCAAUCAUGUUUUUUUUUUUUAAACACGUCAGCUGGGCGUAAAUUUGGGCAAGGUAAUUUAUAUGUAAUUAAAUUUGGACUUACCCAUCACGUUUGGGCUUGCUUUUUUUGCCCAAAUCGACAAAUGAAAACUGAAGUUGACGCCACAUGAACUCAUCAUCUUCCUCUCCACCUCUUUGUUUUCUCCGAUAUGAAACCUGAAGAAUUGAAAACAUUUGGAUUUAAAAGAAAAGAUUUGACAGUCUAAUCUCAAUCGCAUAAAGUAAAUCAAACCAAACUUCACACAUCUUUCUCUCCGUUCGCCGUCACACAUCUUUCUCUCCGUUCGCCGUCGUCGCUCAUCUGAGAUCUCUCUCUUUACUCACCAAAGAUGCAUUCGAGCCAUCUCCUUCUCGAGGAGCCAAUCAGGAUGGCUUCAAUCCUCAAGCCAUCCAAAUCCGUAAGCGAUCCUUUGAUCCAUAUUCGUAAGAGUUAUCUCUAAUCUCUCUCUCUCUCUCUCUCUCUUUCUCUCUCUCUUUUGAUGUCAUCAGAGUUUCUUUCCGGAAGCUUUGGCAACAAAAUCCAACUGAAAGUCCCAUGUCUCCACGGUAAGUCUCUGUAGUUUGUAUUUCAAGGACAUCUCACCAGGUCCACCCGAAUCUGAAUUAGUAUUUCGAAUCUAAAGUUAUGGCGAUGAUCAAUUUCUUUUUUCCUUCAAUGGUGUUGAUAACCUAUUUGAAAAGCCGUCGCUUUGUAGUUUUCAUGUCGAUUCGCUUGAUCCAGUCUUCUCACAAUUUUUUAGUUUUUCUCGAUAAGGUUAAAGUGCCGUAGCGAUUGCUGUAAGGUGUGAAGAUAAAUGUCUGUCGAAUAUGAUCUCUGAAUGAAAACAUGAAGAAGUGUCAGUAUGCCGUAAGUGGUGAGUUUUCCCUAGAAGGAACAUUAUCUUCCCUACCCUCGCAUCUCUAAAAAGCCAUCAGGAUGAAUCACUACUCUGCAUAUACUGAGGAGUCUGGACAAUUAUAUGGGACUGCUUUGGCGUAGGACCUGCUCUAGCUGAAGGGUAGGGAGAUUGAAUAUGACUUCCUGGAACUGAAUAGCCCUGUACCGUUGUAUAACUGUGACCAACAGGGAUGUUUUGAUUCAGUUGCCCGUAUUGGUAGCCUGGUGAGUUAACUGCCCCAGGUACUCCAUAAACCUGAAGGUGCUUACAGUGACUCAAGAGGCCUUCUGGAAGCUAGGAAAGAGGUUGCUGAGUUCAUUGAAUGACUUGAUGGGUAUCCCAGUGAUCCAAAACUCAUAUUCUCCACUGAUGGAGCUAGCUAAGGUGUGAAACAAAUCUUAAACUGUGCUAUACGCAGUGAGGGAGACAUGCAAUAUGAAGAAGAGCAGGAGAGUGCAAGUGCCACCAAGAAGCUUCACCAGAAAAGGCAAUUCAUCACAAUUUAAGUAGAAAAAAUAUGAAGUAUGAUCAGAAGAAAUAAGAUUUUGUCUAUAUCUCUUCUCCUCUAUGCAGAUCAACCAAAACGAUGGACGUAGCCCACGACUCUGAGCUUCCCCAAACAAGUAUGAGAAGACAAGUAGUAAAAGUGCUUUAUGUUUUAGUUAUUUCCUUAGUAUCUCAGUUGCACAUAGCAUGUUGUUUGUCAAUAGAGUUUGUGUCAGUGACGUUGUUGCAUCUUUUGAAACUUUAAAGCUUAAUAAAAGUGAAAGAUCGUUGAUAUGUUAUCGAUGAAGUCGAAUGAAUGUUGCUACCAUUUAUCUUUUUCUUUAAAAUCAAAUCAAAUGGGUUGAUUGUC